rnacentral:rRNA from 1 species
CCUACGGGAGGCAGCAGUGGGGAAUAUUGCACAAUGGGGGAAACCCUGAUGCAGCGACGCCGCGUGAGUGAAGAAGUAAUUCGUUAUGUAAAGCUCUAUCAGCAGGGAAGAAACUGACGGUACCUGAGUAAGAAGCCCCGGCUAACUACGUUCCAGCAGCCGCGGUACUACGUAGGGGGCAAGCGUUAUCCGGAUUUACUGGGUGUAAAGGGAGCGUAGACGGCAGUGCAAGUCUGGAGUGAAAGGCGGGGGCUCAACCCCCGGACUGCUCUGGAAACUGUACGGCUGGAGUGCAGGAGAGGUAAGUGGAAUUCCUAGUGUAGCGGUGAAAUGCGUAGAUAUUAGGAGGAACACCAGUGGCGAAGGCGGCUUACUGGACUGUAACUGACGUUGAGGCUCGAAAGCGUGGGGAGCAAACAGGAUUAGAUACCCGGGUAGUC